GACGGGGGGGGCAAGUGUUGUUCGGAAUCACUGGGCGUAAAGGGAGCGUAGGCGGGUUCUUAAGUUAGGUGUUUAAUCCCGGGGCCCAACCCCGGACCGGCACUUAAAACUGGGAAUCUUGAAUAGUGGAGAGGUCGGUGGAAUUGGAGGUGUAGCGGUGGAAUGCGUAGAGAUCUCCAAGAACACCAGUUGCGAAGGCGGCCGACUGGACACAUAUUGACGCUGAGGCUCGAAAGCAUGGGGAGCAAACAGG
rnacentral:rRNA from 1 species